CCUACGGGAGGCAGCAGUGGGGAAUAUUGCGCAAUGGGCGAAAGCCUGACGCAGCGACGCCGCGUGAGGGAUGAAGGUCUUCGGAUCGUAAACCUCUGUCAGCAGGGAAGAACGGUCACUGUGCUAAUCAGCAGUGAAUUGACGGUACCUGAAAAGGAAGCACCGGCUAACUCCGUGCCAGCAGCCGCGGUAAUACGGAGGGUGCGAGCGUUAAUCGGAAUUACUGGGCGUAAAGCGCUCGUAGGCGGUAUGUUAAGUCAAGGGUGAAAUCCCCGCGCUCAACGUGGGAACUGCCUUUGAAACUGGCAGACUGGAGUGUGUGAGAGGAUAGUGGAAUUCCAGGUGUAGGGGUGAAAUCCGUAGAUAUCUGGAGGAACAUCAGUGGCGAAGGCGACUAUCUGGCACAUAACUGACGCUGAGGAGCGAAAGCGUGGGUAGCAAACAGGAUUAGAUACCCUUGUAGUC
rnacentral:rRNA from 1 species